UGCCAAUUUAUGCUAUACAGCAAAGUGACUCAGUAAAUACACACAUACAUUCUUUUUUAAAAUAUUAUUUUCCAUCCUGGUCUAUCCCAGGAGACUGGAUAUAGUUCCCUGUGCUGUACAGUAGGACCUCAUUGCUUAUCCAUUCUAAAUGUAAUAGUUUGCAUCUUCUAACCCCCAAAUCCCAGUCCCUCCCACACCUUCCCCAUUCCCCCUUGGCGACCACAAGUCUGUCCUCUAUGACAGAUCUCUUAUUUAACUCAUGGUCAAGGACUUUUAAAUUCGACUUUAUUUUGAGGGAAAUCUACUAAAUUCAAAGUAGAUCUUAAAUAAAGGAGAAGUACAUAACACUUUAUUAAAUAAAAUACAUUUACACAACUAAAUACAGGUUAAUCUUACUUCAAAUAAAUUUGAUUUAUAAAAAUGUAGACAUCUAGGAGUUCCUGUCUUGGCUCAGUGGUUAACAAAUCCGCCUAGGAACCAUGAGGUUGUGGGUUCGAUCCCUGGCCUCGCUCAGUGGGUUAAGGAUCUGGCAUUGCCGCAAGCUGUAGUAUAGGUCACAGAUGCGGCUUGGAUCUGGCGUUACUGUGGCUGUGGUGUAGGCUAGUGGUUACAGCUAUGAUUAGACCCCUAGCCUGGAAACCUCCCUAGAAAAGACAAAAAGAAGACAUCUGAACUAAUGUGAAAAAGAGCAGUAAUAAUGCUUUUCAGUUUAUAAAGUUCCUUGUCAUAGCUGCCUGAUAUUCUGCCUUCUUACUCUUUUCCAUGUUUGAAUGUCUGUCUUCCUGCAAGGAAGGAGCUGAAAUAUAAAUGCAACAUGGCAGGUAUUCUACCAUUAAGGAAGUCACAGUCUCAUCUAAAAAAUUCUCUAGCAAAUUAUGUGGAUUAAGAUGAAGAUAUGCAUAGUGGGGAUUAGGGAAAUGAGGCCAAGAAAUGUAAAAGCUGAAGUUGAUAUUUAAAAACAUGAUUAAAUAGAGUAUCGAAAAAAGUCUAAAGUUUGCCACAAAAACAUUUGGCUUGUAAACUUCUACUUUACUUGCAGUUUGCAGGAAAACAUCUAUUAUAAACGUUGCAAAGUAUCACCAGCUGGAUUUGAAGACUUGCAAUUCCCUAUACUUAGAACUCUAAGGAAGGCAAAAGAGAAAUAAAAAAAUAAAUGGUUUUUAAACAUUCUUUCCCUAAAGCACCACCCCUGCCCCCAAAGAAUAUACUCACAGGUUUUUUGUGAUUACGUGUUAGUUUGAUUUUAGAACAACAGAAAUUCACAAAAUCGCUGACUUUUAAAAAAAUAUAAACCUGCUUUGUACAAGGGCAGUCUCAUUUUAUGCUACUUCGUUUUCUGACUUAACUACACCACUGUUACUGGGAAUGAAUAAGGCAAUUUCUGUGAUCUGAAAGGAAAACAUAGGACUCUGCUCAGUUCUUUCAUUUCUCCGUGAAGAUAACAUACACAGAUCUUUAAUAAAAACAUGCCAUUGAGUUUCCAUUUCCCACAAUUCCUUCUGUUUAGUGAACAAAGUCAUAAUAGGUAUGUCAGAAUAAAAACAGGGAUAAAGUUCUUUCGAGCUGACGGGAAAUGCCUACGCAGCUUUUUAUAACUGGAAUACUGACCAUCAGCAAAACAGAGAUUGGGUGGCUCAACAGGGCCCACAUUACAUCUGAUUCACUGAUCCCUUUCAAAUUCUUGCCCCCAACCUCGGUGCAACACAAAACCCUCCUGAGCUUUGCCGGUCCUUUUGUCUGUUUGCAAAACAAAAUGCAACAGAAGAAUAAAUUCUUAGGGGGGUAAAAGAGCAUUUCUAGUUGGACAAAUCUCUCCCUUUUGGUUAUCUUAAGAUGUGUGUUCUACCUAGAUUUUCCAGCUAAUCGCUAUCCAUCACCUGUUGCUUAGCAAUCCAUUACCUAAAAAAUAUGUCACUCUCCCAGCUUUCUCCAACGAAGCAACUUGGAUAAAAAGUCAAUAAUAAAUGUGUUUUGUGUACCCAGCAGCAUUCAAAGUGCUUCUAAGAUAACCAAGAUUGGCAAGGACUCAUUGGUUUUAUACCCAGAACUGGGUAUGAAUCCAGGAUUAAAUGUUAAAAAGAGUGUCUGAGAAUACUUGUUAAAAUACAAAAUUUCAUUAUCAAAGAAAUGUGCUCUCUGCUCUAAAUGCAUCUAAAAGGAAAGAUGCUCUAAGUGUGAAACAUGGCUGCAAAUAUUUUUGCUAAUGGGUAAAUACUAGAUUUUUCAGUGCUUAUUCUCUCAGAUUUCCACAGACAUUAAACACCCUUAAAAACUUUAUAAGGCUUGCAGAUAGGCUUCCUACAUGAAGGUCGAACUACUUUUAACAAUGGCUUGUCAAAUAACAAGCCAUAACAAUGUCAUAACAUAACAAUAACAAUGUCUUGUUCUUAAGCAUUCCCCUUUCAGCAAUUAACUUUCCAGUUCAUAUCAGAUAAGCUAAAUAGUGGAGUACAGCAUGAGAAUACUGUGGGAACGAGAACAAGUGAGAAAGUCUACUGAGGUAUUUGGGACAAUGCUGAACCUUGAAGGAUUUGGGCAGGUGAGACUUGGAAAAAGAGGGCUUUCUGGUAAGUAAAUGUUAUCACCAGAAGAAAAGAAAGAAGACAGAUGAUUCAGCCAAGGAAAGGCAAAAGCCAGCCAUUGCUUGAAAUAUUAAGUUAAUAUAGGGAUAGAGCAGAAGAUUCUUCUAUAGAUUUAAUAUGGAGGAACUGUGGAACACUUGUAGAGAUUUAAGAGACAGAUGCUGAAGAUUUCUGGGCAGGGGACGUGCAAGUCGUGUUUUGGGACAAAUGGCCUAACUUAAACAGACAGGCUGGGAUUAUCAGUAAAACACCAAAGACUUUUCACUGAAAGAGGUCAGUGUCGGAGCAUGAACGAGGGCUCUGAGCCACAGUGAUGGCAACAGGAAUCCCAAAGUGAAAUACGUUUUCAAAGAAGUGGUGAAGAAAGAAUCCAUAGGGACCAAUAAUUAAUUCGCUGUGAGGAGGAGGAACCACUAGGAAGGAAAGGUAAAGAGCAAAAAGGAUUCCUAAGUUCUGAGUCUAGGUGACUAUUUAAAGAGGGAUGGAAACGGGCUAAAUUGGAAGGAGGACAUCGUUUUAGGAAAGACUGCUUUCCAGACCUGCUACUUUCAUUUAACGUUAACACACACACACACACACACACACACACACACACGCGCGCGCGCGCACACACGCACACGGAUGGGGUGAAAUCUUUCAGGGAGAGUCAUGUCUAAUCUCAAAUUUUCCUGCUCAGAUGAUCUUGUUUAGUUGUCUUAUUGACAGAAAACAGCCGAUAGCCAUCUCCUACACAGACGUCUCCUCCAAAAGAUAAAAAUGUACUAAGUCAAGCGUUUGUCUUUUUUUCCUCCUUGUAAAAAUCUAUCUGCUCCCUGACUCCUGGUAAUUUGUGUUUGUCUCCUCUGCACCGUAUUGUAACUCACUGCUACCUUUUUCGAAUGUAAAACUCACAGAGCUAAGGACCAGGCAGGGGGCACUGUGGAAUGCUGUCAAUGGGUAAGGAGUGUGAGUUUUGCAAAAUGAAACAGUUCUGUAGACUGGUUUCAUGAAAAUAUGAAUACACAUGACCCUAUGGAAUGUGCACUUAAAAACUACUGAGGUGGCAAAUUUUAAGUUAUGUGUAUUUUGCUACCAUUUAAAAAAAUUUAAAAAAUACAAAACAUACAAGUCGAACUGUUGACUCCAAUCAACCUGCCUCUAUUAUUUCCUUUCCUGCUUAUUAAUACUUUGAUAUGCCUUGUAAUGCUUUGCACAUUUCAACUGUAUUAAAGCAUGUGCUUUUAGCAAAAAAAAAAAAAAAAAGUAAAAUUCACAAAAUUAAACGCCUUGAGGGCUCCAAGACUGGUGCAAAUAAUUGCCAAGAUUAACAACAGCUGGAGUUCCCUUCAUGGCUCAGUGGUUAACGAACUGGACUAGGAUCCCUGAGGAUGCAGGUUCGAUCCUGGCCACAUUCAGUGGGUUAAGGAUCUGGUGUUGCCAGGAGUUGUGGUAUAGGUCACAGACACAGCUCAGGUCCCACAUUGCUGUAGCUGUGGCAGAGGCCAGACCCCUAGCCUGUGGAGCUCCUUAUGCCACUGGUGCAGCCCUGAAAAGCCAAAAAAAAAAAAAAAAAAAAAAAAAAAAAA
rnacentral:lncRNA from 1 species